AGAGUUUGAUCCCGGCUCAGAAUGAACGCUGGCGGCGUGCUUAACACAUGCAAGUCGAACGAGAAAGGGACUGCUUGCAGUCCUGAGUAGAGUGGCGCACGGGUGAGUAACACGUAGAUAAUCUGCCUUCAAGCCCGGGAUAACUAUUCGAAAGGAUGGCUAAUACCGGAUGAAGUCUUAUUACACAAGUGGUAAGAUGAAAGAUAGCCUAUGCUUGCAAGCUAUCGCUUGGGGACGAGUCUGCGGACCAUUAGCUUGUUGGUGGGGUAACGGCCUACCAAGGCUGCGAUGGCUAGCUGGUCUGAGAGGAUGAUCAGUCACACUGGAACUGGAACACGGUCCAGACUCCUACGGGAGGCAGCAGUGAGGAGUUUUGCGCAAUGGGGGAAACCCUGACGCAGCAACGCCGCGUGAGUGAAGAAGGCCUUUGGGUCGUAAAGCUCUGUCAACUGGGAAGAAGUUAAUCAUAAUUAAUAGUUGUGAUUAUUGACGGUACCAGUGGAGGAAGCGCCGGCUAACUCCGUGCCAGCAGCCGCGGUAACACGGGGGGCGCAAGCGUUAUUCGGAAUUAUUGGGCGUAAAGGGCGCGCAGGCGGUCUUGUCAGUCAGGUGUGAAAGCCCGGGGCUCAACCCUGGAAGUGCACUUGAAACAGCAAGGCUUGAGUACGGGAGAGGAGAGAGGAAUUCCUGGUGUAGAGGUGAAAUUCGUAGAUAUCAGGAGGAACACCGAUGGCGAAGGCAUCUCUCUGGACCGAUACUGACGCUGAGGCGCGAAGGCGUGGGUAGCGAACGGGAUUAGAUACCCCGGUAGUCCACGCAGUAAACGUUGUACACUCGGUGUGGCGGGUAUUAAAACCUGCUGUGCCUAAGCUAACGCAUUAAGUGUACCGCCUGGGAAGUACGGUCGCAAGACUAAAACUCAAAGGAAUUGACGGGGGCCCGCACAAGCGGUGGAGCAUGUGGUUUAAUUCGACAACGCGAAGAACCUUACCUGGGUUUAACAUCCUGUGAAUAUCCCGUAAUUGGGAUAGUGCCUUCGGGAGCACAGAGACAGGUGCUGCAUGGCUGUCGUCAGCUCGUGUCGUGAGAUGUUUGGUUAAGUCCAGCAACGAGCGCAACCCUUAUCGUUAGUUGGCCAGCACGUAAUGGUGGGAACUUUAGCGAGACUGCCCCGGUCAACGGGGAGGAAGGUGGGGAUGACGUCAAGUCCUCAUGGCCCUUAUAUCCAGGGCUACACACGUGUUACAAUGGUAAGUACAAAGGGCAGCGACC
rnacentral:rRNA from 1 species